AGGGUUAUAGCUCAUUGGUAGAAUGCGUGCUUAGCAUGCACAACAUCCUGGGUUCAAUUCCCAGUACCUCCA
rfam:Camelus ferus unplaced genomic scaffold scaffold1065, whole genome shotgun sequence.